AUUGAACGCUGGCGGCGUGCUUAACACAUGCAAGUCGAUCGGUAACAGGUGUAGCAAUACAUGCUGACGAGAGGCGGACGGGUGAGGAAUAUUUGGGAAUCUGCCCAUCAGCGGGGGACAACCCGGGGAAACCCGGGCUAAUACCGCAUACGCUCUACGGAGGAAAGCCGGGGACCGCAAGGCCUGGCACGGAUGGAUGAGCCCAAAUCGGAUUAGCUAGUUGGCGGGGUAACGGCCCACCAAGGCGACGAUCCGUAGCUGGUCUGAGAGGACGAUCAGCCACACCGGAACUGAGACACGGUCCGGACUCCUACGGGAGGCAGCAGUGGGGAAUAUUGGACAAUGGGGGAAACCCUGAUCCAGCGACGCCGCGUAGGUGAAGAAGGCCUGCGGGUUGUAAAGCCCUUUCGGUAGGGACGAAAGCUCUUGCUCUAACAAGGCAGGAGGUUGACUUAACCUACAUAAGAAGCACCGGCUAACUCUGUGCCAGCCGCCGCCGUAACAC
rnacentral:rRNA from 1 species